rnacentral:rRNA from 1 species
GACGAACGCUGGCGGCGUGCUUAACACAUGCAAGUCGAACGGAAAGGCCCUGCUUGCAGGGUACUCGAGUGGCGAACGGGUGAGUAACACGUGGGUGAUCUGCCCUGCACUUCGGGAUAAGCCUGGGAAACUGGGUCUAAUACCGGAUAGGAGCCAUUUUUAGUGUGAUGGUUGGAAAGUUUUUUCGGUGUAGGAUGGGCUCGCGGCCUAUCAGCUUGUUGGUGGGGUAAUGGCCUACCAAGGCGGCGACGGGUAGCCGGCCUGAGAGGGUGGACGGCCACAUUGGGACUGAGAUACGGCCCAGACUCCUACGGGAGGCAGCAGUGGGGAAUAUUGCACAAUGGGCGCAAGCCUGAUGCAGCGACGCCGCGUGGGGGAUGACGGCCUUCGGGUUGUAAACUCCGUUCGCUAGGGACGAAGCUUUUUGUGACGGUACCUAGAUAAGAAGCACCGGCUAACUACGUG